UUUUACUUAGUAUAAAAUAGUACACUUAGCUUCCAACUAAAAGGUUUAAAAUAAAGUAAACA
rnacentral:tRNA from 1 species